rnacentral:rRNA from 1 species
GCGGAGGAAAAGAAACCAACAGGGAUUGCCUCAGUAACGGCGAGUGAAGCGGCAACAGCUCAAAUUUGAAAUCUGACCCCUUCGGGGCCCGAGUUGUAAUUUGUAGAGGGUGUUUCGGGCGCGGCGCCGGUCUAAGUUCCUUGGAACAGGACGUCAUAGAGGGUGAGAAUCCCGUAUGCGACCGGCGAUCAAGCCCAUGUGAAGCCCCUUCGACGAGUCGAGUUGUUUGGGAAUGCAGCUCAAAAUGGGUGGUAAAUUCCAUCUAUAGCUAAAUAUUGGCCGGAGACCGAUAGCGGACAAGUAGAGUGAUCGAAAGAUGAAAAGCACUUUGGAAAGAGAGUCAAACAGUACGUGAAAUUGUUGAAAGGGAAGCGCUUGCCACCAGACCGGUCCGGGGGUGAUCAGCCGCUGCUCGUCAGCUGGUGCACUCGCCCUCGAUUCCGGCCAGCAUCGGUUUGGGCGGCGGGAGAAAAGCUCCGGGAAUGUAGCUUCUUUCGGGGAGUCUUAUAGCCCGGGGCGCAAUGCCGCCCGCCCGGACCGAGGACCGCGCUUCGGCUAGGAUGCUGGCGUAAUGGUUGCAAGCGACCCGUCUUGAAACACGGACCAAGGAGUCUAACAUCUAUGCGAGUGUUUGGGUGUCAAACCCAGGCGCGGAAUGAAAGUGAACGGAGGUGGGAGCCCGUCGCACGGCGCACCAUCGACCGAUCCAGAUGUCUUCGGAUGGAUUUGAGUAUGAGCAUAGCUGUUGGGACCCGAAAGAUGGUGAACUAUGCCCGGAUAGGGUGAAGCCAGAGGAAACUCUGGUGGAGGCUCGCAGCGGUUCUGACGUGCAAAUCGAUCGUCAAAUCUAGGCAUAGGGGCGAAAGACCA